UACAGAGGCCUCAAGCGUUGUUCGGAAUUACUGGGCGUAAAGGGAAUGUAGGUGGUUGCGUAAGUUAGAUGUGAAAGCCCUGGGCUUAACCUGGGAACUGCAUUUAAUACUGCGUGACUUGAGUGCGAUAGAGGAGAGCGGAAUUCCUAGUGUAGGAGUGAAAUCCGUAGAUAUUAGGAGGAAUACCGAUGGCGAAGGCAGCUCUCUGGCUCGUAACUGACACUGAGAUUCGAAAGCGUGGGUAGCAAACAGG
rnacentral:rRNA from 2 species